GCCUCGGCGCAGCCGGAACGGCGGCCGAGGCGACCCGACGUCGCGGCGCUUAGACCUGAGCCGGUCCUCAGACGGCGGCCGCGGUGCCCGAGUGCUUCUCGGGGACCCCGGGCGGCGGCGCAAGCCCCGGAGAGGAGGGGCCGGUCCUGCGCGGGGAGGAGCGGGAGGCUGGUGCCCCCCACCCCCACAGCCUACCUCCUCGCCGAACUCUAAAAAUAACUCCGGGCCGCUGGGGCCGGGAGGAGACGCAGCCACAGUCCCCGAGAGCAGCCGGGAGGCGUGUAGAGCCAGGGUCCGGAGGGAGCCUUCCCGGGCGCGCGGAGCGAAGUUGGCGGAGGAAGCAGGAGCUCCCGGCCGCCGGGCGCCGCACGACCCUCGCCCCGCCAACCCGCUGCCGCCGAGUUGUCAAUCAGUCAGUCUUCUGCGUCUGAAAAUGCACGUGCCAGGGCUUCCCUGGUGGUGCAGUGGUUGGGAAUCCAUCUGCCAGUGAAGGGGACACGGGUUCGAUCCCUGGUCCGGGAAGAUCCCACAUGCCACGGAGCAACUAAGCCCGUGCACCACAACUACUGAGCCUGCGCUCUAGAGCCUGCGAGCCACAACUACUUAGCCCACGUGCCACAACUACUGAAGCCCGCGCACCUAGAGCCUGUGCUCUGCAACGAGAAGCCACCACAGUGAGAAGCCCGCGCACCACAACAAAGAGUAGCCCCCACUCGCCGCAACUAGAGAAAGCCCGCGCCCAGCAACAAAAACCCAACGCAGCCAAAAAUAAAUAAUAACUAAAACAAAUAAAUAAAUAAAUAAAAGAAAAUGCACGGUCCCAGUCACAGUGUGAUGGAAAAGCAAAUUUCAGUGAAAUGUUUCAAUGCCUUUCAGUGUUUGAAGUUCCUAGUGAAAUCACACAUGCUGAGAAUGUUAGAACCUAGCAAGGUGGGUCAGAAAUUAUGUCAAGGGCCUUUAGUGGAAAUUAGAGAGCCGGGGAGUGGUGUCUUUGGUUGGUUGAUUAGAAUAGUAAUGACUCAAAUGGGGGGGUGGUCACCAAACAAGACUUGAAGAGACAAAACCUCCACUGUGACAGUGUGUGGAUUGUGCCAAAGAAAUGAACUGUUAAACUUUGCUGUUUCCGUGCCCGUUGUGGAGAACAGAGUGAAAACCGAUCAGCACAGAACCUGGCCUGAGUCAGAAGUGGGCCAGUUACUACUGACACGGCAACAUGAAAGCUUCACUGACGGCCUGAAAGCAGCACAUUUCCUCCCACCACACCUUCAUAGAGCAAGUCACCUUAGAGAAACCUACCAAACAUUUUGAACAUUCAUAAGUGUCUACCCUACUAACUUUGAUGCUCAUUUGGUUAUUACUAAUGCAAACUCAUGUUUAUUUAUUAUUGUUUUAAAGAGAAAGUAGUUGGAAAUGUGAAUAUUUUCCAUCUUUACCUGGUUUUUCAAAAAUAAUCUAAAAGUUUGAAAUUUACUCAAAAGUAAAGAAAAAAAAAGCAUCACUGAUGUAGUGGGGAUUACUUGACCUCUGGCAACCAUUACUGGGAGCCGGAUGUGGGUGACUCUUGGGACUCUAGGCUUCUGUAAGGGUUCCUGGGUAAAAAAGAAUGGUACACUGAAUCUGAGGACAUAUUUCUUCCUUUAUGUGCGGGGGAAGAUAAUCAUGACUGUCUCUUGACCACUUCCCGAGUAUUGGCAGUAUAUAGAGAAACCUAUAUACUGGGUUGGGUUUGUGUGUUCCUUGAUAAUCACAGUGGAAAGGUGAGGUUUUUUAAUACUGUUAUAAUUUCCUUCAUAUGGAGGUGCCCAGCUUGAUCCUUCAGUUUUCCUGUCAGCCCUUUUUUAAACACUGGCCACAUAUAAUGAGGGAUAAAUCAGGAACCUGACUAUACCCAGCAACUCUCUAUCUGAGAAGACCUUCCCAGUCGAAGUAAAUCAAUAAUACUUUAUUGUCGUUUAAGCU
rnacentral:lncRNA from 1 species